GACGAACGCUGGCGGCGUGCCUAAUACAUGCAAGUCGAACGCAGUGGGGACGGGUGAGUAACACGUGGGUAAACUCCCAACAGAGGGGAUAACACUUGGAAACAGGUGCAAAACCGAUACUGAUGGAUGGACCCGCGGUGCAUUAGCGAGUUGGUGAGGUAACGGCUCACCAAUGCCACGAUGCAUAGCCGACCUGAGAGGGUGUGAGGCCAAACUGGGACGGAGACACGGCCCAGAUUCAUACGGGAGGCAGCAGUAGGGAAUCUUCGGCAAUGGACGAAAGUCUGACCGAGCAACGCCGCGUGAGUGAAGAAGGUUUUCGGAUCUUAAAACUCUGUUGUUAGAGAAGCGGUAUCUAACCAGAAAGCCACGGCUAAGUACGUGCCAGCAGCCGCGGUAAUUG
rnacentral:rRNA from 1 species